rnacentral:rRNA from 1 species
GACAGAGGUCCCGAGCGUUAGGCGGAAUCACUGGGCUUAAAGCGUGUGUAGGCGGAUUUGUAAGUACCUUGUGAAAUCCCACGGCUUAACCGUGGAACUGCUUGGUAUACUGCUUAUCUUGAGCCACUUAGGGGCAACCGGAACAAACGGUGGAGCGGUGAAAUGCGUAGAUAUCGUUUGGAACGCCAAUGGUGAAAACAGGUUGCUGGGAGUGUGCUGACGCUGAGACAUGAAAGCCAGGGGAGCAAACGGG